rnacentral:rRNA from 1 species
CAAAUCAGGUAGGACUACCCGCUGAACUUAAGCAU